UACAGAGGGUGCAAGCGUUAAUCGGAAUUACUGGGCGUAAAGCGUGCGUAGACGGUCAUGUAAGUCGGGUGUGAAAGCCCCGGGCUCAACCUGGGAAUUGCAUUCGAGACUGCAUGGCUAGGAUGCGGAAGAGGGAAGCGGAAUUUCCGGUGUAGCGGUGAAAUGCGUAGAUAUCGGAAGGAACACCAGUGGCGAAGGCGACUACCUGGCCUGUUCUUGACGCUGAGGCGCGAAAGCUAGGGGAGCAAACGGG
rnacentral:rRNA from 1 species